GCAGUUAAUUGAUGGUUUGAUACAUGAUACAUUUCAUGCACAGGGUGCUAGAGCUGCACUUAAUUUGCUAACAUCAUCGCCUUGUUCUUCCUGGCAACGUAAGGACCAUCAACUUCCAUUUGCAACUCUAGCACAAGAGUGAGGAUGGUGAGACAACCGACCGCCGCAAGGUUCUACAAAUGGUUCUCAGAGGUUUGAUGGCGAUGACAUGGCGCAGUCGAUCAAGUUUUGGUCAAUGUUUCAUGGCUCAAUCAACGAAUGGUGUUAAAACUGCUAAUCCUGAAAGCAAGAUUUUGAAUGAUUCCUACCUCGAGCUUCCGCUUCACUUGUUUCUUGGUUGUUCAAGUAUGCUUGGUGGUUCUUCAUCGAGGGUUGAGAUGGACCAUGCACUGGUUACAUCUUCUCCUAUCUCCAUGUUCUUAAUUUUCUUGUGCAAUGAGAGCUGUAUUAAGACAGCAGU